rnacentral:rRNA from 1 species
AUUGAACGCUAGCGGGAUGCCUUACACAUGCAAGUCGAACGGAGUGGCGAACGGGUGAGCAAUGUAUCGGAACGUGCCACGUAGCGGGGGAUAACUACGCGAAAGAGUAGCUAAUGACGCAUACUCUUGGAGCGGCCGAUAUCUGAUUAGCUAGUUGGUGGGGUAGCGGCUCACCAAGGCGACGAUCCGUAGCUGGUUUGAGAGUACGACCAGCCAAACUGGGACUGAGACACGGCCCAGACUCCGACGGGAGGCAGCAGUGGGGAAUUUUGGACAAUGGGGGAAACCCUGAUCCAGCCAUCCCGCGUGUGCGAUGAAGGCCUUCGGGUUUUAAAGCACUUUUGGCAGGAAAGCGGUACCUGCAGAAUAAGCACCGGCUAACUACGUGCCAGCAGCCGCGGUAAUAC